rnacentral:rRNA from 1 species
CCUACGGGUGGCAGCAGUGAGGAAUAUUGGUCAAUGGACGAGAGUCUGAACCAGCCAAGUAGCGUGAAGGAUGACUGCCCUAUGGGUUGUAAACUUCUUUUAUAUGGGAAUAAAACGCGCCACGUGUGGGUUUUUGCAUGUACCUUAUGAAUAAGGAUCGGCUAACUCCGUGCCAGCAGCCGCGGUAAUACGGAGGAUCCGAGCGUUAUCCGGAUUUAUUGGGUUUAAAGGGAGCGUAGGUGGGUUGUUAAGUCAGUUGUGAAAGUUUGCGGCUCAACCGUAAAAUUGCAAUUGAAACUGGCAGUCUUGAGUACAGUUGAGGUAGGCGGAAUGCGUGGUGUAGCGGUGAAAUGCUUAGAUAUCACGAAGAACUCCGAUUGCGAAGGCAGCUCACUAGACUGCAACUGACAUUGAGGCUCGAAAGUGUGGGUAUCAAACAGGAUUAGAUACCCUAGUAGUC